GACAGAGGGUGCAAACGUUGCUCGGAAUCACUGGGCGUAAAGGGCGUGUAGGCGGGAAGGAAAGUCAGAUGUGAAAUCCCCAGGCUCAACCUGGGAACUGCAUUUGAAACUCCCUUUCUUGAGUACCGGAGAGGAAAGUGGAAUUCCUGGUGUAGAGGUGAAAUGCGUAGAGAUCGGAAAGAACACCAACGGCGAAAGCACUCUGCUGGGCCGACACUGACACUGAGAGACGAAAGCUAGGGGAGCGAAUGGG
rnacentral:rRNA from 1 species